AAUCCAUGAUAUGGGCACAAUUUGAGCAUACUUUUGAAUCUAUCCCACGCCUCAUAAAGAGAUUCUAUAUUAGUAUGUUUGAAGUUAGCAAUUUGAUUUAUCAUGUGUCU